rnacentral:rRNA from 1 species
GAUGAACGCUAGCGGCAGGCCUAAUACAUGCAAGUCGAACGGUGUCUUCGGACAUAGUGGCGCACGGGUGCGUAACACGUAUGCAACCUACCUUACAUUGGGGGAUAGCCUUUCGAAAGGGAGAUUAAUACCGCAUAAGACAGUAGCUGGGCAUCCAGCAGCUGUUAAAGAUUUAUCGAUGUAAGCUGGGCAUGCGUCCAAUUAGCUAGUUGGUGAGGUAACGGCUCACCAAGGCAAUGAUUGGUAGGGGAACUGAGAGGUCAAUCCCCCACACUGGCACUGAGAUACGGGCCAGACUCCUACGGGAGGCAGCAGUAGGGAAUAUUGGGCAAUGGACGCAAGUCUGACCCAGCCAUGCCGCGUGCAGGAUGAAGGCGUUAUGCGUUGUAAACUGCUCUUAUACAGGAAGAAACGACUCUUGCGAGAGGCAUUGACGGUACUGUACGAAUAAGCACCGGCUAACUCCGUGCCAGCCGCCGCAGUAAAAC